rnacentral:rRNA from 1 species
GACGUAGGGCGCGAGCGUUGUCCGGAUUUAUUGGGCGUAAAGAGCUCGUAGGCGGCUUGUCGCGUCGGCUGUGAAAACCCGUGGCUCAACUGUGGGCGGGCAGCUGAUACGGGCAGGCUGGAGUUCGGUAGGGGAGACUGGAAUUCCUGGUGUAGCGGUGAAAUGCGCAGAUAUCAGGAGGAACACCGGUGGUGUAGACGGCUUACUGGACCACGACUGACACUGAGGCACGAAAGCGUGGGUAGCAAACAGG